UACGUAGGGGGCAAGCGUUGUCCGGAUUUAUUGGGCGUAGAGAGCGUGUAGGCGGCUUGGUAGGUCUGCUGUGAAAACUCGGGGCUCAACCCCGAGACGUCGGUGGAAACCACCUGGCUAGAGUCCGGAAGAGGAGAGUGGAAUUCCUGGUGUAGCGGUGAAAUGCGCAGAUAUCAGGAAGAAUAUCCGUGGCGAAGGCGGCUCUCUGGGACGGUACUGACGCUGAGACGCGAAAGCGUGGGGAGCGAACAGG
rnacentral:rRNA from 1 species